rnacentral:rRNA from 1 species
GAAACCCGGUGAUCUAGCCAUGGGCAGGUUGAAGGUUGGGUAACACUAACUGGAGGACCGAACCGACUAAUGUUGAAAAAUUAGCGGAUGACUUGUGGCUGGGGGUGAAAGGCCAAUCAAACCGGGAGAUAGCUGGUUCUCCCCGAAAGCUAUUUAGGUAGCGCCUCGUGAAUUCAUCUCCGGGGGUAGAGCACUGUUUCGGCAAGGGGGUCAUCCCGACUUACCAACCCGAUGCAAACUGCGAAUACCGGAGAAUGUUAUCACGGGAGACACACGGCGGGUGCUAACGUCCGUCGUGAAGAGGGAAACAACCCAGACCGCCAGCUAAGGUCCCAAAGUCAUGGUUAAGUGGGAAACGAUGUGGGAAGGCCCAGACAGCCAGGAUGUUGGCUUAGAAGCAGCCAUCAUUUAAAGAAAGCGUAAUAGCUCACUGGUCGAGUCGGCCUGCGCGGAAGAUGUAACGGGGCUAAACCAUGCACCGAAGCUGCGGCAGCGACACUAUGUGUUGUUGGGUAGGGGAGCGUUCUGUAAGCCUGUGAAGGUGGCCUGUGAGGGUUGCUGGAGGUAUCAGAAGUGCGAAUGCUGACAUAAGUAACGAUAAAGCGGGUGAAAAGCCCGCUCGCCGGAAGACCAAGGGUUCCUGUCCAACGUUA